AUUGAACGCUGGCGGUAUGCUUAACACAUGCAAGUCGAACGGCAGCAUGGUCUAGCUUGCUAGACUGAUGGCGAGUGGCGGACGGGUGAGUAACGCGUAGGAAUAUGCCUUGAAGAGUGGGACAACUUGGGGAAACUCAAGCUAAUACCGCAUGUACUCGAGAGAGUAAAGCUGGGGACCUUUAGGCCUGGCGCUUUAAGAUUAGCCUGCGGCCGAUUAGCUAGUUGGUAGGGUAAAGGCCUACCAAGGCGACGGUCGGUAGCUGGUCUGAGAGGAUGAUCAGCCACACUGGAACUGAGAGACGGUCCAGACUCCUACGGGAGGCAGCAGUGGGGAAUAUUGGACAAUGGGGGGAACCCUGAUCCAGCAAUGCCGCGUGUGUGAAGAAGGCCUGAGGGUUGUAAAGCACUUUCAGUGGGGGGGAGGUUUGGAAGGUUAAGAGCUAUUCAAAUGGACGUUACCCACAGAAGAAGCACCGGCUAACUCCGUGCCAGCCGCCGCAGUAA
rnacentral:rRNA from 1 species